rnacentral:lncRNA from 1 species
AUGGGCACUGGGGCCGCCGUCCCCUUGCUCCCUUCACACCAGGACUGUCGCCAUCAGCCCAGGCGUCCACAGCCGCAGGGAUGUGCCAACAGGGGGGACGCAGCACAGGCAGCAGGACACAACCCCACAGUGUCCCAAACUCCCCCCACCCCACUGCUGGAGCCUGAACGCCCUCGCCGCCCCUCGGGGCGCAACGUGCCAUGGCUUGGGUGCCCCCCACGCAGCUCCGCCUGCGUCCCACCGCAGCCCCGCGGGACAGAGGCGGGGGCCCCGCCGCGCUGCAGCCCUGCUUUUGUGCCAAGCGUGGGCAGAGCCGCCCCCGGCGCUCCCGCACCCUGCUCCUGCACCCACGCAGCAGCCGUGGCAGCCAGGGCUCAGCUCGCUGCAGCCCCGCAGCCAGCCCCGGCCUGCCCGCGUGGCCGUGCGCAGCUGCACAGCUCCAUCUGCCGAGCCCCAGCCACCACACAUGCAGCGGGGACACCCGCGGUGGGGACGGAUGGCUGGGAUGUGUACAGUGGGGUCGGCACAGAUGGUGCUGGAGGGGGCCCCAAGCAGCUGGAGCCGUGCCCUGAUGAGGUCCCGCAAGGCCGGGGCCAUGCGCAGGUGGAGGAGCGCGCAGCUGGGGUCUGUGCCGCAGGAGGGGUGCGCAGCUGGGGCCGUGCACAGCUGGAUCCUGUGUGGCUGGAGCUCGAGCACAGCUGGAUCCCAAACACAGCUGGAUCCCAAACUCAGCUGGAUCCCAAACACAGCUGGAUCCAAUGCCCACAGCUGGAUCCUGCACCCAGCUGGCGGCUGUUUCCAUCCCCAGGGAGUUCAUUUUGGGACCCGUCACUUUUUUUGCCCCUUUGCACAGCUGUUUCCCCGCACAGCCCCUCCUGUUCCCUGCUCUCUCCUGCUCCCAGCACCGCUCCCGCUUGCUUUGGGCUUCAUUCAGCCACGUGCAAGCGCAGCCAGUCGCACCCAACAGAACCCUUUCACCCCAUUGCACAAGCACAGCCCUGCUUAUUUUUCUCCAGCCUCCUCUUCCUCCCCACCAACAGGCACCACCUUCAGCUCUGA